rnacentral:rRNA from 1 species
GACGAACGCUGGCGGCGUGCUUAACACAUGCAAGUCGAACGAAGAGCGAUGGAAGCUUGCUUCUAUCAAUCUUAGUGGCGAACGGGUGAGUAACGCGUCAUCAACCUGCCCUUCAGAGGGGGACAACAGUUGGAAACGACUGCUAAUACCGCAUACGAUAUAACCUCGGCAUCGAGGAUAGAUGAAAGGUGGCCUCUACAUGUAAGCUAUCACUGAAGGAGGGGAUUGCGUCUGAUUUGCUAGCUGGAGGGGUAACGGCCCACCAAGGCGAUGAUCAGUAGCCGGUCUGAGAGGAUGAACGGCCACAAUGGGACUGAGACACGGCCCAGACUCCUACGGGAGGCAGCAGUGGGGAAUCUUCCGCAAUGGACGAAAGUCUGACGGAGCAACGCCGCGGGAGGGAUGACGGCCUUCGGGUUGUAAAGCUCUGUUAAUCGGGACGAAAGGCCUUCUUGCGAAUAGUGAGAAGGAUUGACGGUACCGGAAUAGAAAGCCACGGCUAACUACGUG